GCAUAUCAAUAAGCGGAGGAAAAGAAACUAACUAGGAUUCCCCCAGUAACUGCGAGUGAAGAGGGAAGAGCUCAUCAUUGGAAUCUGGCAGUGUUGCACUGUCCGAGUUGUAGAUGAGGAGUAGUCCAUCUGGACUGCAUGGCGUCCAAGUACAAUAGGCCGUCAGUGGGACAUCAUAGAGGGUGACAAUCCCGUCCUUGAUGCCAAUGUGCAAGUCCGUUACGAUGGCUAUCUCAGAGAGUCGAGCAGUUUGGGAUUUGCUGCUUAAACAUGGGAGGUAGAUUCCUUCUAAAGCUAAAUACAGGCGAGAGACCGAUAGAGAACAAGUACCGCAAGGGAAAGAUGAAAUAGAACUCUGUGAAGGGAGUCAAAAGGCGUGAAAUUGUUGCGAGAGAAGCGAUUCAAGUCAGCGUAGCUAGGCCCAUCAAGCGUCUCCGCUUUGGACUAGCUUUGCCAGCGGUCUUGUCCUUAGAGACUUGACAUAAUAUACGUGUCCAGCCUGGUAUGCACAGGUAGCCCCUCUGGGGGCCAGUGGCACGGCUGGUGGAAUGGCUUGCAAUCGACCCGUCUUGAAACACGGACCAAGGAGUCUAACAUGUAUGCGAGUAUAAGGGUGGCAAACCCGUAUGCGCAAUGAAAGUGAUUUUCGGUGAUUAAGAAUGGCCUGAUGACCAGACAAGCAAUACAUGUCCCUCGGACGGCCAUUGCCCAAGUUCCGUGGUAGAUCCCAUGAACAUGGAGUUGGAGCAUACAUGCUAGGACCCGAAAGAUGGUGAACUAUGCCUGGACAAAGCGAAGCCAAAGGAAACUCUGGUGGAGGCUUGUAGCGAUUCUGACGUGCAAAUCGAUCGUCUGAUCUGGGUAUAGGGGCGAAAGACUAAUCGAACCAUCUCAUAGCUGGUUCCUGCCGAAGUUUCCCUCAGGAU
rnacentral:rRNA from 1 species